CAUAUCGACGGUGGUGUUUGGCACCUCGAUGUCGGCUCAACUCAUCCUGGGGCUGAAGAAGGUCCCAAGGGUUCGGCUGUUCGCCGAUUAAAGAGUUACGCGAGCUGGGUUCAGAACGUCGUGAGACAGUUCGGUCCCUAUCCUUCGUGGGCGCAGGAAAUUUGAGGGGAUCUGCAUUUAGUACGAGAGGACCGGUGCGGACAAACCUCUGGUGUAUCGGUUGUAACGCCAGUUGCAUUGCCGAGUAGCUAAGUUUGGAAUGGAUAACCGCUGAAAGCAUCUAAGCGGGAAGCCAACCUCAAGAUAGAUUUCCCAUGAGAUACGUUGGAGACUACAACGUUGAUAGGUCACAGGUGUACGCACAGCGAUGUGUUCAGCCGAGUGAUACUAAUAUGUCAAUUGCCUUAAUUUUUUUAUUUU
rnacentral:rRNA from 1 species